GACGAACGCUGGCGGCGUGCCUAACACAUGCAAGUAGGACGCAGUUGCGAACGGGUGAGUAAAGCGUGGGUAACUACCUAUUAGAGGGGGAUAAAUAUUGGAAACGAUCGCCAAUACCGCCUACCAGUAGAUGGACCUGCGUUGUAUUAGCUAGUAGGUUGGGUAAUGGCCUACCUAGGCAACGAUACAGAGACGACCGGGGAGGGUGAUCGGCCAAACUGGGACUGGGACACGGCCCAGACUCCUACGGGAGGCAGCAGUAGGGAAUCUUCGGCAAUGGGGGGAACCCUGACCGAGCAACGCCGCGUGAGUGAAGAAGGUUUUCGGGUUGUAAAGCUCUGUUGUGUAGGAAGCGGUACUUAACCAGAAAGGGACGGCUAACUACGUGCCAGCAGCCGCGGUAAUAC
rnacentral:rRNA from 1 species